rnacentral:rRNA from 1 species
UACGAAGGGGGCUAGCGUUGUUCGGAAUUACGGGGCGUAAAGCGCACGUAGGCGGGUUGUUAAGUCAGGGGUGAAAUCCUGGAGCUCAACUCCAGAACUGCCUUUGAUACUGGCAACCUAGAGACUGGAAGAGGUUAGUGGAAUUCCCAGUGUAGAGGUGAAAUUCGUAGAUAUUGGGAAGAACACCAGUGGCGAAGGCGGCUAACUGGUCCAGCACUGACGCUGAGGUGCGAAAGCGUGGGGAGCAAACAGG